ACCUCACAACGAUCCACAACGACCAACUACGACCCCACAACGAUCCACUACGACCCCACAACGACCCACAACGACCCCACUACGACCCCACAACGACCCCACAACGACCCACAACGACCCCACAACGAUCCACAACGACCCCACAACGACCCACUACGACCCCACAACGAGCCACGACGACCAAAACACCAGCCACAACAAUCCACAAGUUCACAACAAUCCAACAACAAUCUCUGCAUGCGCAAGUGGAAGUCUUGCAUUUCCCGCCAAUUUUGAUCACAUGAAAUAAUAAAAUACGUGGUGUAGGGAUGGGCGAUACCAGCUUUUUCAUUCGAUACGAUAUUUCCUCGAUAUCUGCC